rnacentral:ncRNA from 1 species
GGAUAAAGGCUUCGGGAAUGUGGCUCUCUCCGGGGAGUGUUAUAGCCCGCUGCGUAAUACCCUGUGGCGGACUGAGGUUCGCGCAUUCGCAAGGAUGCUGGCGUAAUGGUCAUCAGUGACCCGUCUUGAAACACGGACCAAGGAGUCGUCUUCGUAUGCGAGUGUUCGGGUGUCAAACCCCUACGCGAAAUGAAAGUGAACGCAGGUGAGAGCUUCGGCGCAUCAUCGACCGAUCCUGAUGUUCUCGGAUGGAUUUGAGUAGGAGCGUUAA